rnacentral:rRNA from 1 species
AGUGAACGCUGGCGGUAGGCCUAACACAUGCAAGUCGAACGGCAGCACAGUAAGAGCUUGCUCUUACGGGUGGCGAGUGGCGGACGGGUGAGGAAUACAUCGGAAUCUACUUUUUCGUGGGGGAUAACGUAGGGAAACUUACGCUAAUACCGCAUACGACCUACGGGUGAAAGCAGGGGAUCUUCGGACCUUGCGCGAUUGAAUGAGCCGAUGCCGGAUUAGCUAGUUGGCGGGGUAAAGGCCCACCAAGGCGACGAUCCGUAGCUGGUCUGAGAGGAUGAUCAGCCACACUGGAACUGAGACACGGUCCAGACUCCUACGGGAGGCAGCAGUGGGGAAUACUGGACAAUGGGCGCAAGCCUGAUCCAGCCAUACCGCGUGGGUGAAGAAGGCCUUCGGGUUGUAAAGCCCUUUUGUUGGGAAAGAAAAGCAGCAGGUUAAUACCCCGCUGUUCUGACGGUACCCAAAGAAUAAGCACCGGCUAACUUCGUG